rnacentral:rRNA from 1 species
UACGGAGGGUGCAAGCGUUGCUCGGAAUUAUUGGGCGUAAAGGGUAGGUAGGUGUCUCAUUUGUCUGGGGUGAAAGCCUUGAGCUUAACUCAAGAAGUGCCCCAGAAACGGUGAGACUAGAGUCUUGGAGAGGGUCGUGGAAUUCCCGGUGUAGCGGUGAAAUGCGCAGAUAUCAGGAAGAACACCCGUGGCGAAAGCGGCUCUCUGGAACGGUACUGACGCUGAGACGCGAAAGCGUGGGGGAGCGAACAGG